rnacentral:rRNA from 1 species
AUUGAACGCUGGCGGCAGGCCUAACACAUGCAAGUCGAACGAGUGGCGGAAGGGUGAGUAAGGUCUGGGAAACUGCCUGAUGGAGGGGGAUAACUACUGGAAACGGUAGCUAAUACCGCAUAACAUCAGAUGGGCCCAGAUUGGAUGAGCUUGUUGGUGGGGUAACGGCUCACCAAGGCGACGAUCCCUAGCUGGUCUGAGAGGAUGACCAGCCACACGGGAACUGAGACACGGUCCAGACUCCUACGGGAGGCAGCAGUGGGGAAUAUUGCACAAUGGGCGCAAGCCUGAUGCAGCCAUGCCGCGUGGAUGAAGAAGGCCUUCGGGUUGUAAAGUACUGUCAGCGGGGAGGCGUUACCCGCAGAAGAAGCACCGGCUAACUCCGUGCCAGCCGCCGCGGUAAUUC